CUUUUAAAUCUUAUCUAGAUGCGCUUUCUCUUUCCAUCUUCUUCAUCUUUUCCCCGAACAGAAAUACCAAACCCUAACUGUGAAUCCUUGUUUCAUUAUAAUUCGUUCAACUGAUAUACUUCAUUCAUUCGAACUAAACUCUCCCAGAAUUCAUGAUUCGAUCUGUAGCUUUGCAUCAAUUUCUUCGAUCUGUGAUAGUUUCUUCUUUCUUCAAUUUCUUCGAUCUGUAACAUUUCAUUCCUUCUUCAAUUUCUUCGAUUGGUUGCAAUCAACUAUUCUUCCAUUUUAUCUUAUAACCAAAGAAGAAAUCGAACCUCCUUUCAUUUCAUCAUCAGUAGCAAAUCGAAGAAGAGUUCAACAGAAAUCAGUGAUGAAAAUGUUAGGAAUUAUCAGUGGAUCUAUUUGUGUUAUGGGUCUUUCUCAGUAUUAUAUCUACAAAUGGCAGGCAGAAGCAUAUCGGUAAUCAUAUGUAGGAUGUGGACAAGAAGCUGGUCGAGAAAUAAUGCUGAGCAAACUACAAUUAUGAUGCAUGAAAUAGUGAAGAUGAAGUCAUGGUGAUGAUUUCCUGAUAAGUUAUGUUUGAUUUUUGUUCUCACUAAUCAAUAUGUCAAAGCAGUGUUCUCACUAGCUAGUAAAAUAGCUCCAAGUGUUAUCUUUGUUGAUGAGUGAUCCCACAGUUUCUUUUCUCAAAAAUUGCUUUAAGUUGGUCUUGUUUGGAUCCAAAGCAAGAGGAAAGGAAUUUCACAUCCCGACCAACUUUAGUUGAAUUUGAUGCGGAAUUCGCAGGAACCAACAGAAAAAUUAAGGUGUACUUAACUAAGUUUUACAAUCUGAGCAGGAAGCGAAGUUUUACAAUCUGAGAAGAUGAGGAUUUGAUGAAAGCAUCCAGGACAUAAAUAUGGAAGAGGAUGCGUUGGCAUUAAUGGAUCAUUUAGAUUGACCACAAGCUCAUUCCAUGGGUUCAAUGGCUUGAAUCAAAGCACAUAAACCCAGGGCUUACUUCAAGAAGUUUCAAUUCAAAUUCAAGCGAAUGAGAGAGGCAAAAACGAAAAAUAGAGCCAGAAUCCGACUAAUUAACCAGCGCAAGAACAAGUACAACACCCCUAAGUACCGUUUUGUUGUUCGUUUCACCAACAUAGAAAUUAUUGCCCUGAUCAUAUCUGCUAUGAUACUGGUGAUUUGGUAACUUGUGCAGCUUAUGCCCACAAGUUUCCCAGAUAUGGUCUUGAAGUUGGUCUCACUAACUAUGCCGCAGCUUAAGGCUAGAGUGAUGAACCUGAAUUGAGCUAGUUUGUUGGUAAAUGAAGGUAUAAGUAGUGAAGUCUUGUUCUAUGCUGCUAACUCGCAUGGAAUAUUUUCAAGCUUUUUGAUUUGUUAAGUUUGUAAAAGGAAUAUAGGUUGAGCAAUUGUUUACUUACCGUUGAAAUUCAGAUUUAGAACUUAAAAGGUCUGAUAGUAGAAGUUGUAAACGAACACAUUUUAAUACAAAUUAAGUGUUACAGUCGUUAUAAA